CCUACGGGUGGCAGCAGUGAGGAAUAUUGGUCAAUGGCCGGAAGGCUGAACCAGCCAAGCCGCGUGAAGGACGAAGGUGCCAAGCAUUGUAAACUUCUUUUGUCAAGGGACAAAAUCAGGCUCGAGAGCCUGACCGAGGGUACUUGAAGAAAAAGCAUCGGCUAACUCCGUGCCAGCAGCCGCGGUAAUACGGAGGAUGCGAGCGUUAUCCGGCUUUAUUGGGUUUAAAGGGUGCGUAGGCGGGCUGUUAAGUCAGCGGUAAAAGCCCGGGGCUCAACCCCGGCGAGCCGUUGAAACUGGCUGGCUUGAGAGGUCGAGAGGUAGGCGGAAUGCGCAGUGUAGCGGUGAAAUGCUUAGAGAUUGCACAGAACUCCGAUUGCGAAGGCAGCAUACCGGCGGCGAUCUGACGCUGAGGCACGAAAGCGUGGGUAUCGAACAGGAUUAGAUACCCCUGUAGUC
rnacentral:rRNA from 1 species